rnacentral:rRNA from 1 species
GUAGGGUGCAAGCGUUAAUCGGAAUUACUGGGCGUAAAGCGUGCGCAGGCGGUUCGCUAAGACAGAUGUGAAAUCCCCGGGCUUAACCUGGGAACUGCAUUUGUGACUGGCGGGCUAGAGUAUGGCAGAGGGGGGUAGAAUUCCACGUGUAGCAGUGAAAUGCGUAGAGAUGUGGAGGAAUACCGAUGGCGAAGGCAGCCCCCUGGGCCAAUACUGACGCUCAUGCACGAAAGCGUGGGGAGCAAACAGGAUUAGAUACCCUGGUAGUCCACGCCCUAAACGAUGUCAACUAGUUGUUGGGGAUUCAUUUCCUUAGUAACGUAGCUAACGCGUGAAGUUGACCGCCUGGGGAGUACGGUCGCAAGAWUA